rnacentral:rRNA from 1 species
CAAAUGAAUUGACGGGGGCCCGCACAAGCGGUGGAGCAUGUGGUUUAAUUCGAUGCAACGCGAAGAACCUUACCUGGUCUUGACAUCCACAGAACUUUCCAGAGAUGGAUUGGUGCCUUCGGGAACUGUGAGACAGGUGCUGCAUGGCUGUCGUCAGCUCGUGUUGUGAAAUGUUGGGUUAAGUCCCGCAACGAGCGCAACCCUUAUCCUUUGUUGCCAGCGGUCCGGCCGGGAACUCAAAGGAGACUGCCAGUGAUAAACUGGAGGAAGGUGGGGAUGACGUCAAGUCAUCAUGGCCCUUACGACCAGGGCUACACACGUGCUACAAUGGCGCAUACAAAGAGAAGCGACCUCGCGAGAGUAAGCGGACCUCAUAAAGUGCGUCGUAGUCCGGAUUGGAGUCUGCAACUCGACUCCAUGAAGUCGGAAUCGCUAGUAAUCGUGGAUCAGAAUGCCACGGUGAAUACGUUCCCGGGCCUUGUACACACCGCCCGUCACACCAUGGGAGUGGGUUGCAAAAGAAGUAGGUAGCUUAACCUUCGGGGGGGCGCUUACCACUUUGUGAUUCAUGACUGGGGUGAAGUCGUAACAAGGUAACCGUAGGGGAACCUGCGGUUGGAUCACCUCCUUA